rnacentral:rRNA from 1 species
UACGUAGGCAGCAAGCGUUGUUCGGAGUUACUGGGCGUAAAGGGUGUGUAGGCGGCUUUUUAAGUUUGGUGUGAAAUCUCCCGGCUCAACCGGGAGGGUGCGCCGAGUACUGAGAGGCUAGAGUGCGGGAGAGGAAAGUGGAAUUCCUGGUGUAGCGGUGAAAUGCGUAGAUAUCGGGAGGAACACCUGUGGCGAAAGCGGCUCACUGGACCAUAACUGACGCUGAUGCACGAAAGCUGGGGGAGCAAACAGG